CCAAAUAUCUCUCCACUCCCCUCCUAACCUUCGGCCACAACGACACCACCACUAGCCACCAUUUUCAUCCAUUAAACACCAUAAUUUACACCCUUUUUAGCAAUUACAAGAAGGUUUAAGGAACUUGCAAGCAUGGAGGAUCAUUAGAGGUCAUUUUGGAACUUUCAUAUCUUCUUAAUCUUCAUCUAAAAGUCCACUAAUCACUUGCGCAGUUGAAAAUGCCACCAAGACGACGAGGGCAAGGUAAAGGACCGAUGAUGGGCCGAGGACCACGACGACCCCAACAAUCCCACUUGCAUUAUUCCAGUGAAUCAUUCCAUGCUUCUAAAUAUAUAAACUCACCUCACCCAAGUCAGAUACCUCAAGACGAUGACCCAGACCUAGAAAUGGCCAACUCUGGAACCGAAUGACAUCCCAUUGAAUUGUCUAGUGAUAAUACCUCUUACCACGAUUCCCCAUACCAUAGUCCUGAUGAAUGGAACAUGUAUUUUAAUCAAUUUACCUUUUAUACUACCCUUGAACACCAAUCAUCCGAACAUCCCCAUACAAUUUCCCAAGAACCUCCUCAAACUCCACUACCUCCACCAGAUGAUGCCCCAUUAUUACCUCACCAACUGGUGGAACAACAACAGGCACAACCAAUAAGGAACUGCACCAAACCGAGGAUAUCGGUGCGACCUGGAGUUUUUUCAAGCUCACUUCCUCCUCUUCCUCCUAGUCACUACGCACCGAUGUCUUGGUUGUUGAAACGAGGAGAAAACGCUUAAAAUCUGCUGGAAAAAUGUUAGCAAUGAGAAUCUGGUCGAGCUGUAGCUGAAUGGUAACGAAAAUCGAGAAAAUCUGGAAAGAGGGGACCGUCACGCUACGCAACGGUGAGACAGAAUAGGCUUUGCGGUACGCGAAGCAUUAAAAUAUGAUUUCUAGAAAAAUAAAGUGUUGCAGUACGCGAAGCUCAAAGGGAUUACACGUCGCGCUACGCGGCGGGGCUAUUAUUCGGCGGCAAACAUAUUUUUGAAACUGGAUUGUUGCUGAAAACCUAUAUAAACAUCAUUAUCAUGCAACUUAAACCUUGUUAGGAACCAGCAACAACUUGGGCAGUAUUUUGGACAUCUUUUGGAGCGUUUUCGAGAGAUGAAAGCAACUGAUUGAAGUUUGGAAGCUAAGGAAGUCAUCCGAGUUGUUGUUUUGCUAUUCAGGUGUCUUUAUUCUUCGUUUCUUACUUUAAUUAUGUUUCUUCUUAUUGAAAAUACUUUUUUUUGAUUCCUUCAAUGACUUUGAUUAGCUAGAUUUUUUAUACUACCUAGAUUGGAUGAUUGGUUUGUAAAGUUUUGAUUUUUAUUAUGGAUAUUUAGUUGUUUAUGGAUUAUUUGCGAAAGUGAUCGACUCGGUUAUUGUUUU